AUUGAACGCUGGCGGCAUGCCUUACACAUGCAAGUCGAACGGCAGCGGACCUUCGGGUGCCGGCGAGUGGCGAACGGGUGAGUAAUAUAUCGGAACGUACCUUUCAGUGGGGGAUAACGUAGCGAAAGUUACGCUAAUACCGCAUAUUCUGUGAGCAGGAAAGCAGGGGAUCGCAAGACCUUGCGCUGAUUGAGCGGCCGAUAUCAGAUUAGCUAGUUGGUGAGGUAAAGGCUCACCAAGGCGACGAUCUGUAGCGGGUCUGAGAGGAUGAUCCGCCACACUGGAACUGAGACACGGUCCAGACUCCUACGGGAGGCAGCAGUGGGGAAUUUUGGACAAUGGGCGCAAGCCUGAUCCAGCCAUGCCGCGUGAGUGAAGAAGGCCCUCGGGUUGUAAAGCUCUUUCGGCCGGGAAGAAAUCGCACGGGUUAAUACCCUGUGUGGAUGACGGUACCGGAAUAAGAAGCACCGGCUAACUACGUGCCAGCAG
rnacentral:rRNA from 1 species